AUUGAACGCUGGCGGCAGGCCUAACACAUGCAAGUCGAACGAGUGGCGGACGGGUGAGUAAUGUCUGGGCAACUGCCUGAUGGAGGGGGCUAACUACUGGAAACGGUAGAUAAUACCGCAUAACACCAGAUGUGCUCAGAGGGGAUUAGCAUGUUGGUGGGGUAACGGCUCACCAAGGCGACGAUCCCUAGCUGGUCUGAGAGGAUGACCAGCCACACUGGAACUGAGACACGGUCCAGACUCCUACGGGAGGCAGCAGUGGGGAAUAUUGGGCAAUGGGCGCAAGCCUGAUGCAGCCAUGCCGCGUGUAUGAAGAAGGUCUUCGGGUUGUAAAGUACUGUCGGCGGGGAGGCGUUACCCGCAGAAGAAGCACCGGCUAACUCCGUGCCAGCAGCCGCGGUAAUAC
rnacentral:rRNA from 1 species